UACGGAGGAUCCAAGCGUUAUCUGGAAUCAUUGGGUUUAAAGGGUCCGUAGGCGGUUUAAUAAGUCAAUGGUGAAAGCCCAUCGCUCAACGGUGGAACGGCCAUUGAUACUGUUAAACUUGAAUUAUUAGGAAGUAACUAGAAUAUGUAGUGUAGCGGUGAAAUGCUUAGAGAUUACAUGGAAUACCAAUUGCGAAGGCAGGUUACUACUAAUGGAUUGACGCUGAUGGACGAAAGCGUGGGUAGCGAACAGG
rnacentral:rRNA from 1 species